UACGUAGGUCCCGAGCGUUGUCCGGAUUUAUUGGGCGUAAAGGGAACGCAGGCGGUCUUUUAAGUCUGAUGUGAAAGCCUUCGGCUUAACCGGAGUAGUGCAUUGGAAACUGGGAGACUUGAGUGCAGAGGAGGAGAGUGGAACUCCAUGUGUAGCGGUGAAAUGCGUAGAUAUAUGGAAGAACACCAGUGGCGAAAGCGGCUCCCUGGUCUGUAACUGACGCUGAGGUUCGAAAGCGUGGGUAGCAAACAGG
rnacentral:rRNA from 1 species